AACAAUUAAAUCAACAACAACUCGAAUCAUGCGGUCAUCAAAGCAAAUACUAAAUCAUGUUAAAAAUGAGAAUCAAGAGGUCUUUCAAAGGUUGUAAUGUGGCUUGGGUUACAAGAAAGGAUAUGAUUAAGAGAAUUCAACAAAAAUGCCUAUCCUAAGGGAGCAUUCCCAUACAUUCAACUCAACAACAAUUUUCGUUUCUUUGAUCCCCAUCUUUCUUCUUUUCUUAUUUUUCACAUCCACACAACCAUGAGCUUUUUCUUUGUUUUUUCUUUCUUUUCUUUUUCUUUGCUCUAUAGUUUCAAAGGUGAUUUCUUUUUCUUGUUUCUUUUCACACUUUCACCCUUUUAUAAAACAUCAUUUUUCCAAGUUUCUAAUCAACUCUUCUAAUUU
rnacentral:lncRNA from 1 species